UACGGAGGGAGCAAGCGUUACUCGGAAUUAUUGGGCGUAAAGGGCGCGUAGGCGGCGUGGUAAGUCAGCUGUGAAAUCUCCGAGCUUAACUCGGAACGGUCAGCUGAUACUGCUGUGCUAGAGUACAGAAGGGGCAAUCGGAAUUCUUGGUGUAGCGGUGAAAUGCGUAGAUAUCAAGAGGAACACCUGAGGUGAAGACGGGUUGCUGGGCUGAUACUGACGCUGAAGCGCGAAAGCUAGGGUAGCAAACGGG
rnacentral:rRNA from 1 species